rnacentral:rRNA from 1 species
GACGAACGCUGGCGGUGUGCUUAACACAUGCAAGUCGAACGGUAAGGCCCUUUCGGGGGUACACGAGUGGCGAACCGGUGAGUAACACGUGAGUAACCUGCCCUCAUCUCUGGGAUAACAGUCGGAAACGGUUGCUAAUACUGGAUAUGAGCUUGCAAGGCAUCGUGUGGGUUGGAAAGAUUUUUUUGGUUGGGGAUGGACUCGCGGCCUAUCAGCUUGUUGGUGAGGUAGUGGCUCACCAAGGCUUCGACGGGUAGCCGGCCUGAGAGGGCGACCGGCCACAUUGGGACUGAGAUACGGCCCAAACUCCUACGGGAGGCAGCAGUGGGGAAUAUUGCACAAUGGACGGAAGUCUGAUGCAGCAACGCCGCGUGCGGGAUGACGGCCUUCGGGUUGUAAACCGCUUUCAAUUGUGACGAAGCUUUUUGUGACGGUAGCAGUAGAAGAAGCACCGGCUAACUACGUG